rnacentral:lncRNA from 1 species
ACUAUAUGUUUACACUGUUCAAGUAUACUAUAUGCACCAGAAUGUAAUCAGGUGCAUAUGUUGCCAGACAGAGAUGCCAUCUGUAUAUACCUGGAAUCAAUCACAAGGUAUAGGGAGGGAAUUAGUCACAUGUAUUCUUAUUAUUACUGCUAGGUUGCUAGCUAGCUGCAUGUAUCCAUCUAGUAAGCAGUCACAAGUCAGAACACACACCUAAAAUAACUUGCAUUCCACAAGAACGGCAGAUGUACAAUGUUUAAAUUGUACUCCCUUCGUUCGAAUUACACGUCCAAAAAAUGAAUGUAUCUCGAUGUAUUUUAGUUGUAGAUACAUCCAUUUUUGUGACAAGUAAUUCCGAAUGGAGGGAGUAUAUGUAAUUUUACUUUUUCUCGGAAGCAUGCUUGGAACCCACAUGUUACAUAUCUAUGCAUAUAUCCCCAUACAACAAUAGAACCAAUACAACAACUAAGCCUAUAAACUUUUUGCUCCCAGCCAGCAUCAUGAAUUUUCUCAGCUAGUACUAACUACCAAGCUAGUCACUGCCUCAGCCAUACUACAGUAAAACGUCCUUAUAUACUACUCCGUACAGUACUGGCUGAUAUGUAAUAAACCAGCAGGAAACUAUGUGUUUUCUCCCAGCCAUAUCAUACACCAAAAGCACAGUGCCCAGCAAUGAGGUCGGCAUCAUUGAUUCCUGAAAUUUUAAGUAUUGUUCGGUGAACUUAACUCAAACAAUAAUAUGUCUAAGAACGACCAGACUACAAGUGAAGCUUAUGAUUACAGAUACAGAAUCUAAACACCGAGUUUAAAUAUUUUAAGUUCAGAACAUAAAUGUAAUCUGAUGAUGUCCAUCACAUUCCUAUGCUUCCAUGAUGAAUUAUACACUUAAUAGCUACCAACAAGCAUAGGCAAUUAUGUAUGACAAACUAAAACAAUUUCUGCUCAACACGUGUAGUGGGUUUAACUUCUACAAUAAAGUAAAUUACAAGAUAUAUCAUAAGAAUUAAUAUCCCAAGGAGCAGAUCAUUGUACAGUUUCUCGUCCAACAAAACAUGUAUGCAGGAGCAUGACUAGUGUAUUCAACAAGGCGUGGUGUAGCUAGGGAGUUCAAGUGAGGUGACAUGUAGUUUCUCACAAGCACGAGCUCAGAGCAAGCAAACGGAGGCGGGGAGAAGUGAGCUCACCAUGGCUCUCAUGUAGCCGACGCCGAAGAGGCGGCAUGUCCGUUCAACAGAAGACGCUGGGGCCGAGCGAGCCUACCACCGCAAACCUCGAUGAGCCCACCCUUGUACUCUGCAAAUCCUGUUGCCGCUGCACAUGACGGACAAGAGACAUAACAAGAUAAUGUUGAUCAAAUCGAAGGAUAAAUCAUGUCCAGGAACAAAGGAGCAGCUUAGAUAGCUGACAUUUCAUGUCCUGGAAAUCAUGUCGAGGUACACCGAACAACACCUAUCAAUGCUCAGCAGCUGCACCUUGAUACACAGAGUAAAAAAAAGAGGUCAAUCACCUCCACAAACACCAGCACCUUGAGAAGGAAUUGUCCAGCUGCCAAAGAAGGAAGGACUCUCUGCUUCAUUCAUUCUAGACUAUUUGCAAUUUCAGUUUGGUUUAGAAUUAGAAAUGAAUCUUGAACAAAAAGGAAAAGAAAAAGUGUUCGUCAUAUUUGUUCUUCAUACAAGAAACUGAACCAACAAGUUGUUUCAGUCAGAGUUGAACCAAAAUACGUAUUUAAUCAUGCCUAAAAUACAUCACAUCCACAUCGCACACCAAAUUAACAUAGGAAGCAGGGGAGUAGGUCGUUGUACCAAUCCAUCACCUUGAUGGAGUUAGGGGAAGAGAAGAAGCAGAGUAGGGAGGCCCAUGGCGUCCCUCCCAAGCAGCAGCACAACACAUCACGCCUUCUUCUCCCAUGGUGACGUCCUGGUUCGAAAGAGAGAUGAGAAGGGGGUAAGACAGAGAGCAGAAGAAGAAAAGAUGAGGGGAAGAGAAACGGAUUCAGAUAUCAAAAUGUCAAACUAGCAUUCAGAUAUCAAAAUGUCAUACUAGCAAAAUGUCCAACUAGCAUUCAGAGAUCAAAAUGUCAGAAGUUCACACACACCAACACCAAAUCAUACUUCUUCUGUCAACUAUAAAUCGACUGAUUGGGGGUUUCUACGAUUUUUUACCAAUUGUUUUUGCUUCACAAAAAGCUAACAGUUGGUCCUGAAUUUUAUCUUCACAGGGAUGUCAAUCAACCACAACGAAACUGCAUAAACUGAGGGAUUCAUUGCUAAUUCGAACGUGAGUACGAACAGGAAACCUACGGGAAACCUACAGCGAUGGAGAUCCAAAUUCGCAUCCGCAUCAAAUCAAACGGCCAGAUCUAUGCGGAAACCUACGGGAAGCAAAGGAAGCAGAUCGAGGACAUGGAC